rnacentral:rRNA from 1 species
AUUGAACGCUGGCGGCAGGCCUAACACAUGCAAGUCGAGCGGAUGAAGGGAGCUUGCUCCUGGAUUCAGCGGCGGACGGGUGAGUAAUGCCUAGGAAUCUGCCUGGUAGUGGGGGAUAACGUCCGGAAACGGGCGCUAAUACCGCAUACGUCCUGAGGGAGAAAGUGGGGGAUCUUCGGACCUCACGCUAUCAGAUGAGCCUAGGUCGGAUUAGCUAGUUGGUGGGGUAAAGGCCUACCAAGGCGACGAUCCGUAACUGGUCUGAGAGGAUGAUCAGUCACACUGGAACUGAGACACGGUCCAGACUCCUACGGGAGGCAGCAGUGGGGAAUAUUGGACAAUGGGCGAAAGCCUGAUCCAGCCAUGCCGAGUGUGUGAAGAAGGUCUUCGGAUUGUAAAGCACUUUAAGUUGGGAGGAAGGGCAGUAAGUUAAUACCUUGCUGUUUUGACGUUACCAACAGAAUAAGCACCGGCUAACUUCGUG